UACGGAGGAUGCAAGCGUUAUCCGGAAUGAUUGGGCGUAAAGCGUCCGCAGGUGGCUAUGUAAGUCUGCUGUUAAAGAGUCUAGCUCAACUAGAUAAGAGCAGUGGAAACUACAAGGCUAGAGUACGUUCGGGGCAGAGGGAAUUCCUGGUGUAGCGGUGAAAUGCGUAGAGAUCAGGAAGAACACCAGUGGCGAAGGCGCUCUGCUAGGCCGUAACUGACACUGAGGGACGAAAGCUAGGGGAGCGAAUGA
rnacentral:rRNA from 1 species